rnacentral:rRNA from 1 species
CCUACGGGGGGCAGCAGUAGGGAAUCUUUCACAAUGGGCGAAAGCCUGAUGGAGCAACGCCGCGUGCAGGAUGAAGGCCUUCGGGUUGUAAACUGCUUUUAUAAGCGAGAAAUAUGAUGGUAACUUAUGAAUAAGGAUCGGCUAACUACGUGCCAGCAGCCGCGGUCAUACGUAGGAUCCGAGCAUUAUCCGGAGUGACUGGGUGUAAAGAGUUGCGUAGGUGGCAUAAUAAGUAGCUAGUGAAAUCUGGUGGCUCAACCAUUCAGACUAUUAGCUAAACUGUUAAGCUCGAGACCGUUAGGGGUAACUGGAAUGUCUAGUGUAGGAGUGAAAUGCGUAGAUAUUAGAAGGAACACCAAUAGCGUAGGCAGGUUACUGGGACGGUUCUGACACUAAGGCACGAAAGCGUAGGGAGCAAACGGGAUUAGAUACCCGUGUAGUC